rnacentral:rRNA from 1 species
UUUAGAGGAAGUAAAAGUCGUAACAAGGUUUCCGUAGGUGAACCUGCGGAAGGAUCAUUAGCGAAAUGUUUGUCGAGAAGGGUUGUAGCUGGCCUCGCUCGCUUGGCACGUGCACGCCUGGAAUCGCAGAUGUUACCCUUCACACACCUGUGCACACCCUGUAGCUUUGUGAUGCUGAUGAUAUGGAUCUCCAAUUCUGAUGCAAUCCUUGGCUGCGAGCUUUUACACACUUUGUCAAGUAUCAGAAUGUAAACUGUUUGCGGCGUGUAACAGCGCCGGAAAUGUACAACUUUCAGCAACGGAUCUCUUGGCUCUCGCAUCGAUGAAGAACGCAGCGAAAUGCGAUAAGUAAUGUGAAUUGCAGAAUUCAGUGAAUCAUCGAAUCUUUGAACGCACCUUGCGCUCCUUGGUAUUCCGAGGAGCAUGCCUGUUUGAGUGUCAUGAAAUUCUCAACUGCCUUUGUGGGUUUUAUAGCCCCCUUACAAGGGUGAAGUUGGAUUUGGAGGAUGAAUCUUGCUGGCGCUCUUUAGCGAGCUUGUCGGCUCCUCUUGAAUGCAUGAGCCUUCUAGUGCCUUAAUUGCAAAGCGACUCUGAUGUGAUAAUUAUCUACGUCGGACGUCGAGUUUGCUUUAGGGUACCGAUGGAGUGCAAAAAUGGCGUCCUUCCGAGACGGCAUUCUUUGAUAAAUUUGACCUCAAAUCAGGUAGGACUACC